UUUUUCGGAGAGUUUGAUCCUGGCUCAGGACGAACGCUGGCGGCGUGCCUAAUACAUGCAAGUCGAGCGGACAGAAGGGAGCUUGCUCCCGGAUGUUAGCGGCGGACGGGUGAGUAACACGUGGGUAACCUGCCUGUAAGACUGGGAUAACUCCGGGAAACCGGAGCUAAUACCGGAUAGUUCCUUGAACCGCAUGGUUCAAGGAUGAAAGACGGUUUCGGCUGUCACUUACAGAUGGACCCGCGGCGCAUUAGCUAGUUGGUGGGGUAAUGGCUCACCAAGGCGACGAUGCGUAGCCGACCUGAGAGGGUGAUCGGCCACACUGGGACUGAGACACGGCCCAGACUCCU
rnacentral:rRNA from 1 species